UGAAGGACAUGUCACAGACAUGCCACCCUUAUUUUUAACUUCUUGUUUCAAAAUAAAAGCUCUCUACCGUCUUUCUGUGGCCUAAUCCCGUCAUUUGCUAACAAAAGGCUUUUAUUCUGAAACAUUUGCAGGGCAGUGUUGUGUAAAAUGCGGAUUGUUAUAAUUAUUUACAAAUGAGCAAACACUUUGUAAUCCUUCUUCCAUCUUUACUUGUGCAAAUCUGGAACUGAUGUAAACAAAUGACAAAGGUGUUGCACAGCAUUGAGUACCUCAUUCAUUUGCUGCUUGGCAUCCUCAGUUGAAUGGCUACUCCACCGUGAUCCAGACUCCGAUGUGGCUGGGUCAUAUAGCAGACAAACUCCAGAAGAAUCUCUACCAGACCGUUGGAGAGUUUGUGAGCGACGUCCAGCUCAUUUUCUCCAACUGUGCUUCAUACAACCGGGACAAUGCUGAAUUCCUCGCCAGGGGCAACAGACUGAAGGAGUUAUUUGACAGAGAAUUUAAGAGCGUGCUCAACAUCAGUGAAUAGGCUUGUGACAGAUCAGCAGUGUUCUGUUGUCAAACUCAGAAGCGGCUGGGAAAAGGUUAAGCAUGUGUAAAUAUGCCUGUGGUACCUAUCUUUUUAAACAUAACCCUCCUAUGUGGUUGAAAUAUCCCAAAAUAAAUGAUUCCCAAUCAAGAGAAUGCAAGGGACUUUUACUUGAAUUAUGACAACACGUUUCAAUCUAUAAUUCUACUACAAUGCAUUAAAAAUAGUUUCUUCCCACUAUUUAUUUUCAUUACUCAUAAAAUAACCGAAUGUUUAACAUUUCAACACUUUCCAUACGAUCAUGCAGCCCAGAGUGCUUUACAGAGCAAGAUUAAAACAGCACAGAUAACAAGUAUUUCCCCUGUGUGUUGUUCUCAACAUUUUUUUAUUGCCACGUUUUUUAAAUGUAUUUUUUAUUAUGGUGUUACACCACGUGUGAGGAGGGUUCCAAACUGAAUGUAUUGUAAAAGUCAGUAUUUGACUUUUAAAGUGCAAUUAAUUUGCACUUUCUCUUUCUGUCUCGAUCUCUGAUCUGUGGCUUGUGGAUUUCUGUUUUCAAAAUAAAAUAGUAUCUUGUGUA